rnacentral:rRNA from 1 species
GGGGGGUGCCUAAUACAUGCAAGUCGAGCGAACAGAUAAGGAGCUUGCUCCUUUGACGUUAGCGGCGGACGGGUGAGUAACACGUGGAUAACCUACCUAUAAGACUGGGAUAACUUCGGGAAACCGGAGCUAAUACCGGAUAACAUAUUGAACCGCAUGGUUCAAUAGUGAAAGGCGGCUUUGCUGUCACUUAUAGAUGGAUCCGCGCCGUAUUAGCUAGUUGGUAAGGUAACGGCUUACCAAGGCAACGAUACGUAGCCGACCUGAGAGGGUGAUCGGCCACACUGGAACUGAGACACGGUCCAGACUCCUACGGGAGGCAGCAGUAGGGAAUCUUCCGCAAUGGGCGAAAGCCUGACGGAGCAACGCCGCGUGAGUGAUGAAGGUCUUCGGAUCGUAAAACUCUGUUAUCAGGGAAGAACAAAUGUGUAAGUAACUGUGCACAUCUUGACGGUACCUGAUCAGAAAGCCACGGCUAACUACGUGCCAGCAGCCGCGGUAAUACGUAGGUGGCAAGCGUUAUCCGGAAUUAUUGGGCGUAAAGCGCGCGUAGGCGGUUUUUUAAGUCUGAUGUGAAAGCCCACGGCUCAACCGUGGAGGGUCAUUGGAAACUGGAAAACUUGAGUGCAGAAGAGGAAAGUGGAAUUCCAUGUGUAGCGGUGAAAUGCGCAGA